rnacentral:lncRNA from 10 species
CCUUUUCUUUUCUUUUUUUUUUUUUUUUUGAGAUGGAGUCUCACUCUGUCACCCAGGCUGGAGUGCAGUGGCGCGAUCUCGGCUCACUGUAACCUCUGUCUCCCAGGUUCAAGCGAUUCUCCUGUCUCAGCCUCCCAAGUAGCUGGGACUACAGGGGCCUGCCACCAUGCCCCCCUAAUUUUUUGUAUUUUUAGUAGAGGCAGGACUUCACCAUGUUGGCCAGGCUAGUCUCAAACUCUAAAUCUCGUUUCUUAUAUCUAAUUGUAUUUUGGGCCCCUUUAACCAUCCCCUUUGUCCCCACUCCCCACUAUCCUUCACAGCUUCUGGGAAUCAUUAUUCUAUUCACUACCUCCAUCAUAGAAAUUUUUCUCAGUCCCAUAUGUGAGUGAGAACAUGUGACAUUUGUCUUUUUUUUUUUCUUGGCUUAUUUCACUCAACAUAAUGUCAUCCAGUUACAUCCAUGUUGUUGCCAAAGACAAGAUUUUAUUCUUCUUAUGAGGGAAUAAUAGUCCAUUGUGCAUAUACACCACAUUUUCUUUUUUUUUUUUACACCACAUUUCUUCUAUCCAUUCAUCUAUUGAUGGAUACUUAGGUUGAUUCGUAUCUUAGUUAUUGUGAACAGUGCUGCAAUAAAUAUAAAAGUGCAGAUAUUUCGUCAAUACGCUGAUGUCUUUUCUUUUGAAUAUAUAUCCAGUAGUGGAAUUGCUAGAUCAUAUAGUAGUUCUAAUGUUAGUAUUUUGAGGAACCCCCAUAUUGCUUUCCACAGUUGCUGUACUAAUUUACAUCCGCACCAACAGCGCAGGAACACUCCCGUCUCCACAUUCUCUCCAGCUUUUAUUAUUUUCUAUCUUUUUUAAAUAGCCAUUUUAACUGGGGUGAGAUGGCUGACUGUGGUUUUGAUUUGUAUUUUCCGGGUGACUAGUGAUACUGAACGUUUUUUCAUUUACCGGUUGGCUAUGUGUAUAUCUUCUUUUGAAGUGUGUCUAUUCCGAUACUUUGCCCAUUUUUAAUGAUUUUUUUUUUACUAUUGUCUUAUUUGAGCUCCUUAUACAUUCUAGUUAUUAGUCCCUUGUCAGUUGUAUAGUUUGCAAGUAUUUUCUCCCAUUCUGUAAGUUGUCUCUUCACUUUAUUGUUGUUUCCUUUGCUGUGCAGAUUUUUUUUUUUUUUUUUUUUUUUUUUUUUUUUUUUUUGAUAGUCUCACUCCCUCACCCAAGCUGGAGUGCAGUGGCAUGAUCUCGGCUCACUGCAACCUCCGUCUCCCGGGUUCAAGCAAGUCUCCUGCAUCAGCCCCCCUAGUAGCUGGGAUUACAGGGGUACGCUAUCAUGCCCAGCUAAUUUUUGUAUUUUUAGUAGAGACGGGGUUUCAGCAUGUUGGCCAGGCUGGUCUCAAAAUCCUGGCCUGAGUUGAUCCGCCCGCCUCGGCUUCCCAAAGUGCCGGGAUUACAGGCAUGAGCCACUGCACCCAACCUUGAUUUUCAUUUUAAAAUUAAUUUUUCUCUUUAGUGUUAGAUUGGAUAAUUUCUACUAAUUUGUAUUCAAGUAUACUGUCUCUCUCCUCUGUCAUUUUCAUUCUGAUACUGAGCCAAUAAAGUACAUUUUCACUUAGAAGUAUUGUAUUUAUUUUGUACUCUAUAUUGUAAUUUUGCAUUUGGUUUAAUUUCUUUGAUGUUAAUGUCUUUUUAUUACUUUUAAAGCAUAUUCCCAUUUACCUAAUGGAAGAUGGUUAUAAAGUGUAUAAUAUUCUCAGGAUUGAUACCUAUUGAUUGCAUUUUUCCUUGAAUUUAGGUCAGAUUUUCAUGGUUCUCCAAAUGCCAUGUUAAUAUUGGAUUAUAUCUUUAGCUUUUUUUUUUUUUUUUUUUUUUUUUGAGAUGGAGUUUCGCUCUUGUUGCCCAGGCUGGAGUGCAAUGGUGCGAUCUCAGCUCACCGCAACCUCUGCCGCCUGGGUUCAAGUGAUUCUCUUGCCUCAGCCUCCCAAGUAGCUAGGAUUAUAGCCAUGCGCCACCAUGUACGGCAAAUUUUAUAUUUUUAGUAGAGAUGGGGUUUCUCCAUGUUGGUCAGACCUGUCUUGAGUUUCUGACCUCAGGUGAUCAGCCCGCCUCGGCCUCCUAAAUUGCUGGGAUUACAGGCGUGAGCCAUGGCGCCGAGCCUAUCUUUAGCAUUUUUAAUACUACUAUCCUUCUAAAAUUUUCUAGUGAAUGCUGAUUUUUAGAAUUUGCUUUAGCAGGCAAUCAGGCUAUUUAGGUUCAGACCACAGUUAUUAGCCAAAAGCCUGAGAAGCAAUCAGACCACAGUUCUGUCUUGUCCUCUAUGGACAGUAAUUUACAGUGAGUUCAGCUUUCAAAGCUUUUUCUAUGCUAUUUGGGUCAUGGACCAGGCAGACCCAAAUAGCAUAGAAGCACUCAAGGUUUAGUCUGAGAUUUGAGCAGUCAUUUAUGUCAUAGUUCUCUUCUUGAAAUAUAGACUACUCUUCUUUGAGUCUGUUCUGUUUACACACAAUUUAGAAUAAAGCCCAAAACUUAUAUUAGGUCAUAGUAGAAUUAGGGGAUGCCAUUUUUUAGUGCUCUCCUGUUUUUUUAUUUCUCCCACAUGCUUGAAUGCCCUGGGGCCCUUUUUCCAGUUUCUUUGUUCAGAAAGAUGUGAUAAUUCAGAGCUUUAGCCUUCUGCACUGAUGUGCGAUCAUGCACAACCAGAGUCAGCUUUAGAGUAAAGUGUUGAUAUAAGACAGAGGGAAAUACUGGGCAUUCUUCCCACAUUCUUCAGACAUUUGUCCUAGUUCCUUCUCCUAGUCCCUCUGACCAAGAGUCCUUCUCCUAGUCCCUCUGACCAAGAGUCCUUCUUUCGGGGCCUUAGGUACCUGUGCCACCACCUGUGUGGCAGAGCAAUGCCACAGCUAUGGACUGGCUUCACAGUGGAGCCAGGAGAGAAAGGAGAUGAAAAAGAAAAAUAGAGAUCUCCUCCCAUAUCUAAUAUGCAAGAAUAACUUUUUCCAGUCAUUUGGCUAGAAAGAAGACCUUUUUACUCAGUACCUAUUGCACUCUUCUAGGAUUUAGACCAGUUUGAGGUCAUAAUCAGGAAAGAAGGGAGAAAAA